GACGAACGCUGGCGGCGUGCUUAACACAUGCAAGUCGAACGCGCCUGUCCUCUGGGUUUCUGGGGGGUGGGUGAGUGGCGAACGGGUGAGUAACACGUGAGUAACCUGCCCCCUUCUUCGGGAUAACGGUCUGAAAGGGCUGCUAAUACCGGGUAUUCACUGGUCUCCGCAUGGGGUCUGGUGGAAAGGUUUUUUUCUGGUGGGGGAUGGGCUCGCGGCCUAUCAGCUUGUUGGUGGGGUGAUGGCCCACCAAGGCUUUGACGGGUAGCCGGCCUGAGAGGGUGACCGGUCACAUUGGGACUGACAUACGGCCCAGGCUCCUACGGGGGGCAGCAGUGGGGAAUAUUGGACAAUGGGCGAAAGCCUGAUGCAGCGACGCCGCGUGAGGGAUGGAGGCCUUCGGGUUGUGAACCUCUUUCGCCCGUGGUCAAGCCGCGACGUGGGUCGUGGUGAGGGUAGUGGGUAAAGAAGCGCCGGCUAACUACGUG
rnacentral:rRNA from 1 species